rnacentral:rRNA from 1 species
UACGAAGGGGGCUAGCGUUGCUCGGAAUCACUGGGCGUAAAGCGCACGUAGGCGGAAUCUUUAAGUCAGGGGUGAAAUCCCAAGGGCUCAACCUUGGAACUGCCUUUGAUACUGGGGGAUCUCGAGUCCGGAAGAGGUUGGUGGAACUGCGAGUGAGAGGUGAAAUUCGUAGAUAUUCGCAAGAACACCAGUGGCGAAGGCGGCCAACUGGUCCGGUACUGACGCUGAGGUGCGAAAGCGUGGGGAGCAA